UCACUCUCAGCCUCUCAUUCGUCCCUCCAUUCCGUCCAGCGCCGCGCCGUGCCGUCGUCCACCCGUCGUCGCCGUGUCGUCUGCCUGUCGCGGACUACCCAGGCUGGGCCGGGCGUCUCCCCUUCCGCGACGCGACAGCCCAGGCGACUACCCCCUUCUCGGUUCCAGUUUCCAGCGGCGAGAAGAAGGCCCCCUUCCGGCGGCAGCCCAGGCGACAGGCGUCGUCCUUGGAGGCGGAGGCGACUACCCCCUUCCGGCUUCCAGUUUCCAGCGCCGACUACCCCCUACCCGACUUCCCCUUCCGGCGCGGCUGCCGGCCUGUACCCUAGGUGCCUUCUCUCUUGAAGCCUGCAGUUACAUUUGCUUCUGAACAAAGGGAAACUAUUACAUUUGCUGAUGUUGCUGGUGUUGACAAGGCAAAAGAGGAGCUGGAAGAGAUUGUGUCAAUCGAAGAAGAAAGCGGCGGCAAUGGAGAUGCGAAAUAAAAUAAGUGGAGACGAUGGAGAUGGUUUCCUAUACAUAUCAAAGAUUCGUCUUUAUAGGUAUGAUUUCAAGUAUUACUAAUUUGGAAUGAUUUUGUGGAUUUUAUAUAAAUCUAUUCUUUUUCAAAGGAGAAACAUCGUGUGUAGCCUUAGUUGUUCACUAUUAUUUAUUUUCUUAUUUAAAUCAAACUCUCUGCUGAUGAAUCUAGCAAUUAUUAGUUUCCCAUGCUGUGUGAUCUUUCUAGGCAUAUAUUUGAUCCAAGAUCAGUGGUUAGUAAUUCUGCACUUGUGGUUUUAUUCAAUUUGUCUGGUCUUUGGCUUUUAUAUAUAUUUCUUUAACUUUAGUUUUUCUGUGUCGAUUCCAGCCUGUGUAGACUGCAAACGCUGGUUACGAUAAGUAUUGGAUGCAUUUUUUAGUGUUGGAGCUGGUUUAAUUUGCUGUAGUAAGUCCGUUUACGUUAUAUGGGGUAUUAUUAACAACUCAUGAUUGCAGUACCUCGACGAGAACAAGAAAUUGAUAUUGGCUAUUCUGGAUAAUCAAAAUCUAGGCAAACUCGUUGAAUG